rnacentral:rRNA from 1 species
UGGGGAAUUUUGGACAAUGGGCGAAAGCCUGAUCCAGCAAUGCCGCGUGUGUGAAGAAGGCCUUCGGGUUGUAAAGCACUUUUGUCCGGAAAGAAAUCCUUGGCUCUAAUACAGUCGGGGGAUGACGGUACCGGAAGAAUAAGCACCGGCUAACUACGUGCCAGCAGCCGCGGUAAUACGUAGGGUGCAAGCGUUAAUCGGAAUUACUGGGCGUAAAGCGUGCGCAGGCGGUUUGCUAAGACCGAUGUGAAAUCCCCGGGCUCAACCUGGGAACUGCAUUGGUGACUGGCAGGCUAGAGUAUGGCAGAGGGGGGUAGAAUUCCACGUGUAGCAGUGAAAUGCGUAGAGAUGUGGAGGAAUACCGAUGGCGAAGGCAGCCCCCUGGGCCAAUGCUGACGCUCAUGCACGAAAGCGUGGGGAGCAAACAGGAUUAGAUACCCUGGUAGUCCACGCCCUAAACGAUGUCAACUAGUUGUUGGGGAUUCAUUUCCUUAGUAACGUAGCUAACGCGUGAAGUUGACCGCCUGGGGGGUACGGUCGCAAGAUUAAAACUU